rnacentral:rRNA from 1 species
UACGUAGGGGGCAAGCGUUGUCCGGAAUUAUUGGGCGUAAAGAGCGUGUAGGCGGUUCGAUCAGUCCGCUGUGAAAGUCCAGGGCUCAACCCUGGAAAGCCGGUGGAUACUGUCGGGCUAGAAUCCGGAAGAGGCGAGUGGAAUUCCUGGUGUAGCGGUGAAAUGCGCAGAUAUCAGGAGGAACACCGAUGGCGAAGGCAGCUCGCUGGGACGGUAUUGACGCUGAGACGCGAAAGCGUGGGGAGCAAACAGG